rnacentral:rRNA from 1 species
ACAGUAGUCGCCCGGGUUGCCGCAAGGCCUCCCGGGUAACCUACCACCCUUUGUUUAUUACACUUUGUUGCUUUGGCAAGCCUGCCCUCGGGCUGCUGGCUCCGGCCGGCGAGCGCUUGCCAGAGGACCUAAACUCUGUUUGUCUAUACUGUCUGAGUACUAUAUAAUAGUUAAAACUUUCAACAACGGAUCUCCUGGUUCUGGCAUCGAUGAAGAACGCAGCGAAAUGCGAUAAGUAAUGUGAAUUGCAGAAUUCAGUGAAUCAUCGAAUCUUUGAACGCACAUUGCGCCCCCUGGUAUUCCGGGGGGCAUGCCUGUCCGAGCGUCAUUACAACCCUCAAGCUCAGCUUGGUGUUGGGCCCCGCCGCCCCGGCGGGCCCUAAAGUCAGUGGCGGUGCCGUCCGGCUCCGAGCGUAGUAAUUCUUCUCGCUCUGGAGGUCCGGUCGUGUGCUCGCCAGCAACCCCCAAUUUUUUUCAGGUUGACCUCGGAUCAGGUAGGGAUACCCGCUGAACUUAA